GUGAUUUUUACUGGUGCUCUACCCAUUGCCAUCUCCCACAUAUGCAUUUCUAACAAUCUCAACUCUUCUUCAAUAAGCAUCAAAUAUAUAUCCAUGACUAGCAAUGCUUGAGCUCAGCUUAACUUGAUUAUAGUUAAAAUUUUAGGUCAAGUUUUUAAAUCAAAAUUGGGUGAGCUUGAAUUGGUAUUUUAUUUUUCUUUACAUAGGGUGAAAUGGUAACCUUGGUGCAUGAUGUUUGCGGA
rnacentral:misc_RNA from 1 species